rnacentral:rRNA from 1 species
GGCAGAGGUGGCAAGCGUUGUUCGGAUUUACUGGGCGUAAAGGGUGCGUAGGUGGUUAGGUAAGACCUGUGGGAAAGACCUGGGCUUAACCCAGGAAGGUCGCAGGUGACUGCCUAGCUAGAGGGCGGGAGAGGGGCGCGGAAUUCCCGGUGUAGCGGUGAAAUGCGUAGAGAUCGGGAGGAAGGCCGGUGGCGAAGGCGGCGCUCUGGAACGUUCCUGACACUGAGGCACGAAAGCGUGGGGAGCAAAC